rnacentral:ncRNA from 1 species
UAAAUAUAAAGCGGGGGCUUGUGGAAACAGGCUGAGAGUAUGGCUAGUCUGCCAUUGACCGAAUGAACCUGUUGGAUAAUGCCAGCGUAGGGAGGUGUAAUGGAAUCAAA